GACGAACGCUGGCGGCGUGCCUAACACAUGCAAGUCGAACGGGACCGGGGGCAACUCCGGUUCAGUGGCGGACGGGUGCGUAACACGUGAGGAACAUGACCUUCGGCGGGGGAGUAGCCGGCCCAACGGCCGGGUAAUACCGCGUACGACCAUUCGGGGACAUCCCUGGAUGGUGAAAGCAGCAAUGCGCCGAUGGAGUGCCUCGCGGCCUAUCAGCUAGUUGGUGGGGUAACGGCCUACCAAGGCGACGACGGGUAGCUGGUCUGAGAGGAUGGCCAGCCACAUUGGGACUGAGACACGGCCCAGACUCCUACGGGAGGCAGCAGUGGGGAAUAUUGCGCAAUGGACGAAAGUCUGACGCAGCGACGCCGCGUGUGGGAUGACGGUCUUCGGAUUGUAAACCACUGUCGGGAGGGACGAAUACGCCGCAAGGCGGGUGACGGUACCUCCAAGGGAAGCACCGGCUAACUCCGUGCCAGCAGCCGCGGUAAUACGGAGGGUGCGAGCGUUGUCC
rnacentral:rRNA from 1 species